rnacentral:miRNA from 1 species
UACCUCAAAAUUCCGCAACAGUCUGUUUCAUCAGUAAAGAAUCAUUGAUGAUUCUUUACUGAUGAAACAGACUGUUGCGGAAUUU